rnacentral:rRNA from 1 species
UACGGAGGAUGCGAGCGUUAUCCGGACUUAUUGGGUUUAAAGGGUGCGUAGGCGGAUCGUUAAGUCAGUGGUCAAAUUGAGGGGCUCAACCCCUUCCCGCCAUUGAAACUGGCGAUCUUGAGUGGAAGAGAAGUAUGCGGAAUGCGUGGUGUAGCGGUGAAAUGCAUAGAUAUCACGCAGAACCCCGAUUGCGAAGGCAGCAUGCCGGCUUCCUUCUGACGCUGAAGCACGAAAGCGUGGGGAUCGAACAGG